ACUCACAUUUGUGAGUGUCUGAGUUCGACCAGAAUGCCAGGGGCGACCAAGGGGAAGAACUCCAAACCUAGUUCUUGUUUAAAUCCACAAAUUGAAGGUCAAGAUCAGCCCUAAAACGAAAUCUGAACCCGGAUUAGUGAUCCCCAUUGAAAGGGGAGUCACAAGUUGACUCUAAACAAGCUAGGUGGGAGCUUGAAAAGGAACGGGUCAAACGGGUCAUGGAUGCGAAGAAUGUUUGUGCAGACGCGAGGGUAAAACGGCUUAUAGAAUUUACGUGGCUACGAAUCAGCAAAUUAUUAAGGCAAGGUAUUAAAACGGGUCAAGACUUUGACCCGCGCCAGGUACAUUUUGGAUGCCGGAAGACGAUCAAGCUCGACGAAGGACCGAACACGAUAUAGAUACAUGCUUCCGCACUUUAACACAUUGCAAAUUUUAAACAACGAAUUCAACCACGUUAUGUAGAAUAACUUAUAAAUUGUAAAAGUUUUAAUAAAUUCGUAUUUUUAUAGUAUGUGUAGGCUUAACUACACAUCUAAUUGUUGGCAUAUACAUUACAAAUUGUUAAUUAGUAACUAGGGUGUUACAACAUAUUUUCCAAACA